GGUUACCCGGUCCAACCGAAGCGCAACCCUACUGUUAGUUACCAUCAUUCAGUUGGGCGACUCUAGCGAGACUGCCGGUAAGUAAACCGGAGGAAGGUGGGGAGUGACGUCAAAUCAUCAUGCCCUUACUGACCUGGGCUACACACGUGCUACAAUGGUUGGUACAACGAGUUGCGAGUCGGUGACGGCGAGCUAAUCUCUUAAAGCCAAUCUCAGUUCGGAUUGUAGGCUGCAACUCGCCUACAUGAAGUCGGAAUCGCUAGUAAUCGCGGAUCAGCACGCCGCGGUGAAUACGUUCCCGGGCCUU
rnacentral:rRNA from 1 species